rnacentral:sRNA from 1 species
GUGGAGGUGAUUUGGCUCUCACAGCUAUCGCCCCUUUGACGGACAGGGUUGAUUCAACUCAUCUCCCAGCUAGGUGGGUGGCCCCCCUCCCUCACCACUUUAGGCUCAGCUUCAUUUCUCUGAAGUUGAAAGAGAGUAAAUCUCUCCCAAGAUAGGAAGAUUGCUCUUCAACCAGCAGCAUAGGCAAGCUUAGAGAAUCUUUGGUAAAGUGGACACAUCCUAUUAGCGGAUAGAAAACAUGGUUUCUAUCAUCUUUUCCAA